UACAGAGGGUGCAAGCGUUAAUCGGAAUUACUGGGCGUAAAGCGCGCGUAGGUGGUUCGUUAAGUUGGAUGUGAAAUCCCCGGGCUCAACCUGGGAACUGCAUUCAAAACUGACGAGCUAGAGUAUGGUAGAGGGUGGUGGAAUUUCCUGUGUAGCGGUGAAAUGCGUAGAUAUAGGAAGGAACACCAGUGGCGAAGGCGACCACCUGGACUGAUACUGACACUGAGGUGCGAAAGCGUGGGGAGCAAACAGGAUUAGAAACCCCAGUAGUCC
rnacentral:rRNA from 1 species